AGUUCCUACGGGACGCAGCAGUGAGGAAUAUUGGUCAAUGGCCGGAAGGCUGAACCAGCCAAGCCGCGUGAGGGAGGAAGGCGCAGAGCGUCGCAGACCUCUUUUGCCGGGGGACAAAAGGCCGGACUCGUCCGGUCCUGAGGGUACCCGGAGAAAAAGCAUCGGCUAACUCCGUGCCAGCAGCCGCGGUAAUACGUAUGGGGCAAGCGUUAUCCGGAUUUACUGGGUGUAAAGGGAGCGUAGGCGGCCUGGCAAGCCUGAUGUGAAAUACCGGGGCCCAACCCCGGGGCUGCAUUGGGAACUGC
rnacentral:rRNA from 1 species